rnacentral:RNase_P_RNA from 1 species
ACAGAGUUCCGGCUUGUCGCUGGCGGUAUAUGCCGCGAGAGGAAAGUCCGGGCAGCGCAGAGCAUCUCACUUGCGAAAGUACAAGCAGUCAGUGAUGGCUGAGUAACGCAGAAGAAAAUAACCGCCGGCAUGCCGGUAAGGGUGAGAAGGUGAGGCAAGAGCUCACCGGUACGGUGGUGACAUCGUAGCCGUGCGUCUUGAGAGCUGCAAGUUUAUGUAAACUGCCGUCUGAGGGCUGCUCGUCCGAGGCAGAGGGUAAAACGCUAUACCGAGAGGAAGACGUGCCGGGUGACCGGUAUGAUAGAUAAAUGACAAGCGCCUGCCGGCGUGACCCUGAGGUUACUGCCGGCGGGUACAGAACCCGGCUUAUAGGAACUCUGUUCUU